rnacentral:rRNA from 1 species
UAGACGGGAUGUUAAGUCAGCUGUGAAAGUUUGGGGCUCAACCUUAAAAUUGCAGUUGAUACUGGCGUCCUUGAGUGCGGUUGAGGUAUGUGGAAUUCGUGGUGUAGCGGUGAAAUGCUUAGAUAUCACGAAGAACUCCGAUUGCGAAGGCAGCAUACUAAGCCGCUACUGACGUUGAGGCUCGAAAGUGUGGGUAUCAAACAGGAUUAGAUACCCUGGUAGUCCACACGGUAAACGAUGAAUACUCGCUGUUGGCGAUAUAAUGUCAGCGGCCAAGCGAAAGCAUUAAGUAUUCCACCUGGGGAGUACGCCGGCAACGGUGAAACUCAAAGGAAUUGACGGGGGCCCGCACAAGCGGAGGAACAUGUGGUUUAAUUCGAUGAUACGCGAGGAACCUUACCCGGGCUUAAAUUGCACUGGACAGGCCAAGAGAUUGGCUUUUCUUCGGACCAGUGUGAAGGUGCUGCAUGGUUGUCGUCAGCUCGUGCCGUGAGGUGUCGGCUUAAGUGCCAUAACGAGCGCAACCCUUGCCUUUAGUUACUAACAGGUUAUGCUGAGGACUCUAGAGGGACUGCCAUCGUAAGAUGUGAGGAAGGUGGGGAUGACGUCAAAUCAGCACGGCCCUUACGUCCGGGGCUACACACGUGUUACAAUGGGAGGUACAGAAGGCUGCUACCCGGCGACGGGAUGCCAAUCCCCAAAACCUCUCUCAGUUCGGAUUGGAGUCUGCAACCCGACUCCAUGAAGCUGGAU